CAAAAAUAACGAUACGGGACUCAUCCGAGGCCCCGUAAUCGGAAUGAGUACACUCUAAACCCUUUAACGAGGAUCAAUUGGAGGGCAAGUCUGGUGCCAGCAGCCGCGGUAACACCAGCUCCAAUAGCGUAUAUUAAAGUUGUUGCGGUUAAAAAGCUCGUAGUCGAAUUUGUGUCCCGCGCCGCCGGUUCAUCGCUCGCGGUGUUAACUGGCGUGUCCGCGGGACGUCCUGCCGGUGGGCUUAGCUCUCGGGCGGCCCAAUCUCAAUCCCACCGCGGUGCUCUUUACUGAGUGUCGAGGUGGGCCGGCACGUUUACUUUGAACAAAUUAGAGUGCUUAAAGCAGGCUAAAAUAUCGCCUGAAUACUGUGUGCAUGGAAUAAUGGAAUAGGACCUCGGUUCUAUUUUGUUGGUUUUCGGAACCCCGAGGUAAUGAUUAAUAGGAACGGAUGGGGGCAUUCGUAUUGCGACGUUAGAGGUGAAAUUCUUGGAUCGUCGCAAGACGGACAGAAGCGAAAGCAUUUGCCAAAAACGUUUUCAUUGAUCAAGAACGAAAGUUAGAGGUUCGAAGGCGAUCAGAUACCGCCCUAGUUCUAACCAUAAACGAUGCCAGCUAGCGAUCCGCCGACGUUCCUCCGAUGACUCGGCGGGCAGCUUCCGGGAAACCAAAGCUUUUGGGAUCCGGGGGAAGUAUGGUUGCAAAGCUGAAACUUAAAGGAAUUGACGGAAGGGCACCACCAGGAGUGGAGCCUGCGGCUUAAUUUGACUCAACACGGGAAACCUCACCAGGCCCGGACACCGGAAGGAUUGACAGAUUGAGAG
rnacentral:rRNA from 4 species